UACGGAGGGUGCAAGCGUUGUCCGGAUUUAUUGGGUUUAAAGGGUACGUAGGUGGGUCUUUAAGUCCGUGGUGAAAGCCUGCAGCUUAACUGCAGAACUGCCAUGGAUACUGGAGAUCUUGAAUUCAGUUGAGGUAAGCGGAAUUUAUGAUGUAGCGGUGAAAUGCAUAGAUAUCAUAAAGAACACCUAUUGCGAAGGCAGCUUGCUGGACUUGGAUUGACGCUAAGGUACGAAAGCGUGGGGAGCGAACAGG
rnacentral:rRNA from 1 species